AAUAGCCUAACGGCUGAACCAGCAAUUUGGAAGAAUGUAUAGCGAAAGCUAAUUGUAUUAGCAGGCAACGGUUAAUACAAUAUCGUCUAUGGCGACUAAAGUUCUAGGUAGAGUAAUGAUAAUGACAUUUUUUACCUAUGUGUCUUGACCAAGUCACGUGCCAGCAGUCGCGGUAAUACGUGGAAGACUAGUGUUAUUCAUCUUUAAUAGGUUUAAAGGGUACCUAGACGGUAUAUCUAGCCCAAAAAGGGUACUAGAUAAACUAGAGUUUAAUGUGAGGGGGAAAUUAGUACUGAUGGAGAAGAGAUGAAAUUCUGUCAUACUAUCAGGUGACUGGUAUCGGCGAAAGCAACCUUUUAUGCAAAAACUGACGUUGAAGGACGAAGGCUAGUAUAACCAACAGGAUUAGUUACCCCAGCAGUCUUAGCAGACAACGCUGAAUGCCAUAGAUUAGAUUAUAUUUCUUCUAUAAAUGAAAGUGUAAGCAUUCCACCUCAAGAGUAAUUUGGCAACAUAGAAAUUGAAAUCAUUAGACCGUAUCUGAAACCAGUAGUGGAGUAUGUCGUAUAACUAGCCGAUCCGCAAAAAACCUUACCACAAUUUGAAUAUUUAUAUAAUUAUACAAGAGUUGCACGGCUGUCUUCAGUUAAUGUCGUGAGAUUAUGGUUAGUUCCAUAAAAUUAACGUAAACCCUUACUUUAUUUUUAUAUAAAGUAGUUCACCACUAUAUUGGUUAAGAUAGAAGGGACUAAGACAAGUCAUCAUGACCUGAAUAUUGUGGGCUACAGACGUGCCACAUAAGCCUAUACAAAGGGAUGCGAAAUUGCGAAAUAGAGCUAAUCCCCUAAAAUCGGAUAUAAUAU
rnacentral:rRNA from 1 species